AGAGUUUGAUCCUGGCUCAGGACGAACGCUGGCGGCGCGCCUAACACAUGCAAGUCGAGCGGACUUUUUAUGAAAGCUUGCUGGAUUAAAGAGUUAGCGGCGGACGGGUGAGUAACGCGUGAGCAAUCUGUCCCACACAGGGGGAUAAUACCGCGAAAGUGGUUCUAAUACCGCAUGAGACCACGGAUGGGCAUCCAUCGGGGGUCAAAGGAGCAAUCCGGUGUGGGGUGAGCUCGCGUCCGAUUAGAUAGUAGGUGAGGUAACGGCCCACCUAGUCGACGAUCGGUAGCCGACCUAAGAGGGUGAUCGGCCACAUUGGGACUGAGACACGGCCCAGACUCCUACGGGAGGCAGCAGUGGGGAAUAUUGGGCAAUGGGGGAAACCCUGACCCAGCAACGCCGCGUGGAGGAAGAAGGUUUUCGGAUCGUAAACUCCUGUCCUAAGGGAAGAGCAGAAGACUGUACCUUAGGAGGAAGCCCCGGCUAACUACGUGCCAGCAGCCGCGGUAAUACGUAGGGGGCGAGCGUUGUCCGGAAUGAUUGGGCGUAAAGGGCGCGUAGGCGGCCUGUUAAGUCUGGAGUGAAAGUCCCGCUUUCAAGGUGGGAAUUGCUUUGGAAACUGGCGGGCUUGAGUGCAGGAGAGGUCAUUGGAAUUCCCAGUGUAGCGGUGAAAUGCGUAGAGAUUGGGAGGAACACCAGUGGCGAAGGCGAGUGACUGGACUGUAACUGACGCUGAGGCGCGAAAGUGUGGGGAGCAAACAGGAUUAGAUACCCUGGUAGUCCACACUGUAAACGAUGAGUGCUAGGUGUAGGAGGUAUCGACCCCUUCUGUGCCGCAGUCAACACAAUAAGCACUCCGCCUGGGGAGUACGGCCGCAAGGUUGAAACUCAAAGGAAUUGACGGGGGCCCGCACAAGCAGCGGAGCAUGUGGUUUAAUUCGACGCAACGCGAAGAACCUUACCAGGUCUUGACAUCCAUUUAAAGCUGUAGAGAUACAGUGUGAGCUUGCUCGAAAUGAGACAGGUGGUGCAUGGUUGUCGUCAGCUCGUGUCGUGAGAUGUUGGGUUAAGUCCCGCAACGAGCGCAACCCCUGCCUGUAGUAGCCAGCAUGUUAAGAUGGGGACUCUACAGGGACUGCCGGGGUCAACCCGGAGGAAGGUGGGGAUGACGUCAAAUCAUCAUGCCCCUUACGGCCUGGGCGACACACGUGCUACAAUGGCACAACAAAGAGACGCGAUCCCGCGAGGGGGAGCAAACCUCAAAAAUAGUGUCCCAGUUCGGACUGCAGUCUGCAACCCGACUGCACGAAGCCGGAAUCGCUAGUAAUCGCGGAUCAGAAUGCCGCGGUGAAUACGUUCCCGGGUCUUGUACACACCGCCCGUCACACCAUGGGAGUCGGCAAUGCCCGAAGCCGGUGGCCUAACUGCAAAGAAGGAGCCGUCGAAGGCAGGGCUGAUGACUGGGGUGAAGUCGUAACAAGGUAGC
rnacentral:rRNA from 1 species